AUACGGAGGGUGCAAGCGUUGUUCGGAAUCACUGGGCGUAAAGGGCGCGCAGGCGGUUUUACAAGUCAGAUGUGAAAGCCCACGGCUCAACCGUGGAAGUGCAUUUGAAACUGUAAGACUUGAGUAUCAGAGGGGAAGGUGGAAUUCCCGGUGUAGAGGUGAAAUUCGUAGAUAUCGGGAGGAAUACCGGUGGCGAAGGCGACUUUCUGGCCAAAUACUGACGCUGAGGUGCGAAAGCGUGGGGAGCAAACAGGAUUAGAAACCCUAGUAGUCC
rnacentral:rRNA from 1 species